UACGUAGGGGGCAAGCGUUGUCCGGAAUUAUUGAGCGUAAAGAGCGUGUAGGCGGUCCGGUAAGUCAGCUGUGAAAGUCAAGGGCUCAACCCUUGAAAGCCGGUUGAUACUGUCGGGCUAGAGUCCGGAAGAGGCGAGUGGAAUUCCCGGUGUAGCGGUGAAAUGCGCAGAUAUCGGGAGGAACACCAAUGGCGAAGGCAGCUCGCUGGGACGGUACUGACGCUCAUGUGCGAAAGCGUGGGGAGCAAACAGG
rnacentral:rRNA from 1 species